CUCGUCGCGCACAAAGAGCCGCACAUAAUGCGCGAUUUAUGCGCCACGUGUUUCUAUGCUUCCACGUCCAUUGUGCGUUUGUACUUUAUCGACCAGCGUUUCGGCGUUCGUUCCUCGAGAAACGAGGAAGGCGAGAGCGGGAGAGAAUAAGCAGAGAACUAGGAAAGAAGAAAACGAAAGGGUGGCAGAGCAUGCUGCAAAAAGCGAACUUAAAAAAUCACUUUCGUCACGAGUCUUACUGCGACGAAUUUCGAAAUCAGCAAACCAAACGGAAAUCACUUACAGACGUACCCUUGGUACACAAAUACUCUGUCCCACGGGAUGUUUAUCAUGCAGAGAGCGUCGCGUCGAUGGGCAGCAAGAACGAGUCCGCGUUUCACAGCCGUCGAUCGCAGCGGGGACGCGAAUCGCGGCGCUGAUUCCGACAAAAGCCGGCCUCGUAAAGUCGAUUCGCGCGGACGCACAGGUGAAACCGUCCGACAAGCAAAAGCAACAGCAGCCAACGACAACAACAGCAACGACAACAACGUCAUGGCGGUGUUCGCCUGUAACACGUGAACCGCGGUGGCACAGGCUCUCUUUCGAAACGCUUUAACGCAGCAACGGCCGCCCGCGGUGCGGUCCUUUGUCGUGGCACACCGACGACCGCUGCAAUGAGACAUAAAUUGCAAUUAGCACCGGCGUAUCUGCAACGCGUCCACAGGCCGACUUAUGCGCGCGGCUGGUCAACUCCCUUCUUGCAAGCGUGUCGCUAGUUCGAUCGAACGACACGUUUUCCAUCCACGGAUAGAUCACCUCCAUGAUGGAAGAAGGUAUAAGGUAGUUAUUUAAUAUAGAAGAGUCAUCUGCAAUGGUAUUGACCUUGACACACACUGCUGGCCAUAAGUAUCAAGAUAUCUACUGAUAUCUGAGCCGUUUAUUUCAGAGAGAUACGAUCGAUGAAAUUAUAAUUUCAGAUAAGCAUCAACGAAGUACUGUGACAGAAAAAUUUUAGAAAUUCUAGAAUUAAAUUGAAUACGCUUCAUCGCUUUCGUUUUCAUGCUAUCUUAUUAUAAAGCUGUCGUUUUCUUUACGACUUAUGUGUAUUAUAAAAUAUUAUUUCUUCGAGUUUUUCAUUAAAUAUAACGAGUUCGAUAGGAUAUAAGGCGAUUGCAAAAAUGUAAAUCUACACAGGCAUCCUAUUUACGUGUGCGAAUUUUACAGAGUCAUUGACAAUUUCUAAAUAAUCAAAGAAGAUCAAUAGGAAAAGAUCAAUGGCGGUACAGUGUCGUAAUCGUAUCUACGGACGUAAAACUCUACUGUCUCUUUCUUCGUCUGUCGAAGUCCACUUAAUUCAUAAACUAAUGAUACGAAAAACACUAUGUAAUAACCCGUGGCCCCGAUAAAUAUCAUCGUCUCGCGAACUAUCACACGAGAGCAUAGAUAACUGCUUGAAAGGAAAACAUUUAAGAACGAAGUAUCGAUACUCUAUAAUACCAAGAAUCUAUAAGAGAAUUCCAGAAAUCGGUCGCAGUGUACUGCGAUACUUCACGACGACAGAAGCGAGGAACAAAGAAGAAACAGAAACGUGUCCGCGUGGAGGCCGUCGCAUUACGGAAAGACAAUGAAAAGAAAAUGCCGCGGAGUUCUUGUUAAGCCAAGCUAUUAUCGUUAAUUAAAUAGCGCCUUCGCUAUCUCGGCUCACGUCCCGUCGCCGUGCCCGUGGCAUUAAGCCCGUAUGACACCGUAAAGACUUUAAGUCGCUGCUCGUUAUCGGAGGAAUGACAGACGCGUCCGUGCGCCAAGGAAAGGACAGGGCUGCGAUCUCCAUUCCGGAGCCAUCGUGUUAUCCGCGAUCGCUAAACCGUUCACGAAAAGGAAAUAAAGAGCAGCGUAAUGUGUACGUGUGUGCAACAGAACGUUUUCUCGAACUUUAGAUGUUUUAGAGAAUUUUUAAUUCGCUCGAAUAACUGCGAUCCAUUUUGUUGUUACGGAUCCCUAAAUCGAGUCGACGGCAAUGUUGAUGGGAAAUGUUUCUAUCUUGAUCUUCUUAGGUCUGCCAGGAUAUCUACAUCUACUUGCUUAGACUCUGUGAACAGUUUUGAGUGGAUAUUUUUUUGACAAUUUUUGUUACACGUGACUGAAGAAAGAUAGAAUCUACGUUGAGAUAUUAAAAUGGAUACUGACUAUACUUUGGAUAUUUCAUAUGCGCGUUGGCAUGUUUGAUACGUUUUGCAGCUUUAAAAUUUUGUAAUUGUAUUAAAUGCAAUGCGUGUUUCCCGGAAAUGUUAAUAUGCUGCCAAAUGUCUGACCGUGAAGUCCUUUUCUACUUAAUAGAACAUUCAUGAAUUCUUCGACACUGAGUCGUGGAAAUGAUACAAAAACAAGGUCGACAAAAUUGUUGUUUUUUUCUUGAAUAAAUAUUUUUCUAAAAUA